CAUUGCAUAGCACGGCGUACAGCCGACUGGACUAUGUGGCAUUUGUAGCCACGUUGGUCAUGUACGUUGUUCGUUUAAAAUAGCAAGUACUGUGUAUUUUUGUCUUGAAUAAGUCAACAAUGCUGUGCUUUUAGCUGAACUUUCGAAGCCAAGAAGAGAGGGAAGCAGCAAGAAGAAGAAUAUGGCUGAUGAACCUCUGCAUAGCAAACUGGCAGAACACAAAAACAACUGCAUUAUGUGGAAAUCACUUCACUCCAGACCAGUUUGAAACCAACAGAGCUUGUGGAGUGGUAAAACUUAAACCAAAUGCUGUGACAACCAUUUUUUGUCAUCAUAAGCCACCAGUGGGAUGUAAAGCUCCUUCUGAGAGAAACCUGUUGGCCCACUAGAGAAACGAACUGAGGAUACUGAGGUUGUAGAGCCUUCAAAUGUGACCAGUGACAUCAGUCCUCCAGAGAACCUGGACACAACAGGAGAUGAAGUCACCACUCUGAAGAAGCUAGUACAACAGCUUCGGGCUGAAAUUUUAGCUUUGAAGAGAAAACUCAACUUCUCUCAGAAAGGGGGGAGACAAGAGUGUGUUUAGAAUAAGACAACUUUCUUGCCAGCCUGCAUGGUUUAUUUGGUGCAGAUCGGUUUGCAGUAUUAACAAAGGGGACAUGUAAAGGUAGCAAAAUGUCAGUGGAAAGGGCUGAGAAUUAGACUAGCUUGUGGUAGUACGUGGUAGAAAAUAAAUUUCCGUUUCCUUCAGACAGAACCCCGAGAUGUUUGCUACAGAAUGUACAAUUUAGACCUGGUGUGCUGAGGGAGCUAAUGAGUUUUCCUGAAAGUUAAGUUUGACCUCAUGCUGCCGGAUGAAAAAUGUGCUCCUCUCCUCAUGGAUGAGGGUCGUAUCAUUCCAUCAUUGGAAUAUGAUUGGAGCAUUAGUUGUUAUGCUGGGUGGUAUUACCUGAAAAUGGAAACAAACAAUAGGUUACCAUUACACAGGCCAUCUUUUUCCAGUUCUGAUGUCAAAAACAUCUCUAUAAGCAUUUAGUGAAUCUGAGGCACUCGGUAUCAAUGUUCACUGCAUCGCGUCAGAUACGGGAGGGCAAAAUCGAGCUGUAUGGUGAGAAUUUGGAAUUGUUGUUGGCAGGUUUUCAAAAUUAGUCAAUUUUUGCCAGUAUCCUUGUGAUAACAGGAAGCUAAUUUUCCUCAGAGAUACACCACACAUUUUGAAAAUAUGAGGAACCACUUAGUCACCGGGCAAUAAGUCUUCCUUUCACAAAAUGUUGUCGAGGAACAAUAUCCACCAUGUAAUGAGGUACAUAUAUAUCGUGUAAAGCAGUUGCUUGAGAUAGACAAUGGUUUAAAUCUUAAACUGGCUCCACAACUGCAUGAGAGGCCUUUGAUGCCAAACCUUUAUGAUAAAAUGGAAGUUGGCUUGGCUACUGCCCUAAUUAUCAGCCAGACUGCAGCAGCCAUUGAGUAUGGUGUCAGGACAGAGAAACUGCAGAAAAAUGCUUUAACCACAGCACGGUUUCUAAAGCACGUUCAUAAGUGAUUUCGCCUCAUGGC